GUGGCGACCGGCGCACGGGUGAGUAACGCGUAUGCAACCUUUCUAUCAGAGGGGAAUAACCCGGCGAAAGUCGGACUAAUACCGCAUAAAACAGGGACACCGCAUGGUGAUAUUUGUUAAAGAAAUUCGCUGAUAGAUGGGCAUGCGUUCCAUUAGGUAGUUGGUGAGGUAACGGCUCACCAAGCCGACGAUGGAUAGGGGAACUGAGAGGUUGGUCCCCCACACUGGUACUGAGACACGGACCAGACUCCUACGGGAGGCAGCAGUGAGGAAUAUUGGUCAAUGGGCGAGAGCCUGAACCAGCCAAGUCGCGUGAAGGAAGAAGGAUCUAUGGUUCGUAAACUUCUUUUGCAGGGGAAUAAAGUGCAGGACGUGUCCUGUUUUGUAUGUACCCUGAGAAUAAGGAUCGGCUAACUCCGUGCCAGCAGCCGCGGUAAUACGGAGGAUCCGAGCGUUAUCCGGAUUUAUUGGGUUUAAAGGGUGCGUAGGUGGUUUGAUAAGUCAGCGGUGAAAGUUUGCAGCUUAACUGUAAAAAUGCCGUUGAAACUGUCGGACUUGAGUGUAAAUGAGGUAGGCGGAAUGCGUGGUGUAGCGGUGAAAUGCUUAGAUAUCACGAAGAACUCCGAUUG
rnacentral:rRNA from 1 species